UUCAAUGUCCUUGGGUCAGCUCUUUGUGUUUUUAUUUGCUACAGGUGAGAAGAAACAUCAGAAGCACUUGAAGGACCAGAAGGUGGGUGUUCUAGGGAUGGGGAGGCAAUCUGCAAAAUGGCUUUUUAGAAAAUUUCCUCCAGAGUUAUCUGUCUCAUUAACAAUGGUUUUUUGUCUUAGAAUUUUCUCUUUCAUUUUAUAAACUGACAUGAUUUGUUCAAUUAUGAAUGUACACUGAUCUAGUCCUUCAAUAAUCCAUCACACGUUUUACCCAUGUCUUCUAUAGGCACCUUUUCUUUGGUGUUAAUGACAUCAUCUUCAUCGUCACUAUUAUUGUGAUCAUCUUGAUCCAGAACAAUUUCAGCUAUUUCACCAUUGGUCAAUGAAUGAACAACUGGAGGCUCAUUAUCAAUGUUAAAAGCUUCUUUGAUAUCUACUUCUUCCAGCUUACUGAUGCAUAUAUAUUAUUAUUUUGCAUAUAUAAGGUCAGACAUUCAUGUUUUCCUCACUUGACAUAUGAAAUCCUUCAAAGUCACUACUUAGUUCAUCAUCAUCAUCACUGCACAUAGUCACAGGUUAGAGGUUGCAGGCAUGCAAAACUGUAUCUUUAGUCAUUGUCUUCCAAGCAUUGGCAACAGCAUGUAUGGCAUCUUUCAUGCUAAACUCUUUUUGCAAACCUUCCACACCCACACCUCUUGUCACUGCUGCUAGCAUGCUGUUCAGGAAAGUGUUUUUAUAUUUACUCUUCAUUGAUCUAAGGAUACCCUGGCCACAUGGUUGAAUUAAUAAAGUCACAUUUUGGGGAAAGUAGAUGGCAUAAACAUUUUUGAUGAGAAUUUCAGCAGGAGGGUGAAUAGAACAGUUGUCACGUGUAACAAAAUCUUGCAGUCAUCCUCCAGUUUAGCUUCCCUGCAGUGAGCAUGAACUUCUGGUACAAAACAUUGGAGCACCAAUCAGAAAAUAUGUCCCUGGUGAUCUGUGCACUUUUGUUAGCAUAAUAAUAGUCUGGUAAGAAAUCCACUCCCUUAAAAUAGUGAAGACAUAAGCUUUUGCCUGUCACAGCAAGUUUACAAUGUGUUUGUGUGCUGCAUUAGCAUAUCCCAGUACAGUUAUUCUGUCCUUGGCAUCCUUAAUUCCUAUAGGGGCUUUCUCAUCAGCUGUAGUCAGUGUCUUCCUGGGGCAGUAACACAAAACAGUGAUGUUUUAUAAGCAUUAUAGACUUGUUCUGGUGUCAGAUUUUCAUCAGUGAUAACUUGGGCACGCUCAUCAAUCAUUGCUGCUUUAUGAUCAGCAGAUGCUUUAUCACCUCAAAUUGUAAAAAAAAUAAUGUUGUGUCUUAAAUGUAUGCAGCCAGAUAUAUUGAAUAUUCACAGUUCCCUUCAAUUUCCAGUUCAUCAUAAGUCUUUGCUCAUUUCAUUAUCAGCAUGACAUUAAGUGGCAAGUGUUCACUGCAUCGCUGACCGAUCCAAUUUUUCAAUACAUGAUCAAGACCAUUAUUUUUAGUUUUAUGCAGUGUUUUUCUGUUUUUACUAAUUUUUAUUCAUUAUUUUUAGCAUAGAACUCCAACUGUUUAUCCUUCUAUUGUUUCAGGUCAUAUAUGGUGGUCAUUCUGACACCAUACUCUUCUAUUAAGAUGUUUCACAUUCGCACCACUGUCCAGUUUCUCCAACAGCUUGACUUUCUGUGCUAUCCUAUAAACAUAAAUGCUUCCUCUUUUGUUGGUAUCUGCAGGCCUUUUGAACAUUUUUUCAGCAACAUCUUUACACCACAGGGUAGAAAAUAAACAAGAAAACACAAGGAGCAAUGCAUGUAGGUCUUUACUACAUGUAGGGCAUUUUGGGGAACCGGCUGUUGGCACAUCCAGUCUGCACAUGUGCUAUUUUAUUACGUUUUAUGGGUGUGCUUUCAUGGAGGAAUUUGGUCAUGCACAGAAAAUAUAUAUUGCAGCUGAACUGGGGUGGAAGGGUCUUUUUUCCCUUGGAGACAUUGAAU
rnacentral:lncRNA from 1 species